UGGGGAAUAUUGGGCAAUGGGCGCAAGCCUGACCCAGCAACGCCGCGUGAGGGAGGAAGGCUUUCGGGUUGUAAACCUCUGUCCUUGGUGACGAAACAAAUGACGGUAGCCAAGGAGGAAGCCCCGGCUAACUACGUGCCAGCAGCCGCGGUAAUACGUAGGGGGCGAGCGUUAUCCGGAAUUACUGGGCGUAAAGGGUGCGUAGGUGGCCUUUUAAGUUGGAUGUGAAAUACCCGGGCUUAACCUGGGGGGUGCAUCUAAUACUGGGAGGCUAGAGUGCAGGAGAGGAAAGCGGAAUUCCUAGUGUAGCGGUGAAAUGCGUAGAUAUUAGGAGGAACACCAGUGGCGAAGGCGGCUUUCUGGACUGUAAUUGACACUGAGGCACGAAAGCGUGGGGAGCAAACAG
rnacentral:rRNA from 1 species